UUUUUUUUUUUUUUUUUAAUUUAGACAGCAAAGGGAGGGGCCGCGCCGCGGAGCGUCUCUGGGGUGAAAGGGCCGCGCAGACACCCGGGCGCAGGCGAGGGAGGGUCCUCGGCCGUCGCCACCGCCCGCCUAUUUCUCCGGCAACAGGUUCCCGCGGGAGCGGGACGGGUGGAGGCGAGGUGCCCUUCCCUGCGCGGAACGUCCCCGAAGUCCCCCGAGCCGUCCGUGCGGCCCAGCCCCGACGGCGGUCCCCUCGCACCCCGAAGCUGCUCAGAGCCCCCGCUGGACUCCUCUCCCGGCCUCGCUCGCCCCCGCGCGCCCGAGACGCACCCCAUCCCGGGUGGGAUUCAUUCGGCCGCGGCUGCACUUCGCCGCCAGCCCGGCCUGAAACGCGCGCCGCAGUCCCAAAAGAAAUUCGCCCCAAACCACGGAAAUUGGCCCGCCGCGCUGCCUGAAAUACACCCCAACGCCCACCUCAAUUCAUGCCCACACCGGGCACAUCGGUCCACCAGGGCCGAAAAUCACCCCCACGCAACCCGACCCAGAUCCCUCCAGCUCUCACUGAAACUACCCCAACCUUGCUGAAAUGGAUUCCCAGCCCUCGCUGAAGGUUCCUAUCGUCACUGGCCACCUGCCCCUCACCAAACCCCACCGUAUUCCACCAAACUCUUAACACUGAAAUCCCCUGGGCGUCUGAAACGUAUUUUUACGAACUCCGAACCCCAGUGCUAGCGAAAACCUCCGAAAAACUCAGACUGCCUCACAUGGCCAGCCACAGACUCAUUCGAACUCCUUGGACCUGUGCUCCCCUCCUGAUGCUGACCCACCUACUCACACUACUGUAUCUCUUGGCUCAGGACUCUGUUUCUGCCUUUUGAAGGAGAACCCUGCCCCCUCUGCUUCUGCCCUUUACGGGAGGACCCCACCGCUGUUCGUUUCUCCCUUUAAGCACUCAUUCCUCUUCCCUUUGAGGCCUAUUUGCCUUGCUUUCUCUUUCCACCUUUAACAUUAGCCCCCAGGGGCUGCGUCUUUAGUUUCCUUGACUCCACUGUCCAAGCCUUGGCCCUUGCUCCUUUCCCCCUUCAGUUUCCUUUAAUUCAUGCUUCUAGGUUCUUUCCCCACCAUCUCCCAAGAUCCUGAUGUCUUUUCUUUACCUCACUACGUAUUUGUUAACUCAGCUUAUCUCCUAAUGCCCUCACCCUCGUUUCUUCCAGAACCCUGAAGCCCACUAACCUUUCUCAUCCCAUCAAACCCCUCCCUGUGACAACCCAGCACUUACUGAAAUCUCCACCUGUCCCAAAUCUUAAAUUAGGGUCGGUACCCAGAAAAUUCUCUGCACUCUGUUAGCACCUCUUCCCCUGGACCACAGAACCCUUCUUGCCUAUUACUUGCUACCUAUAUUUUUAAACACCAACAAUUUGAUUUCCAGGGUGAGUUCAUCGCUGUUUACAUUUAAAUGAAGUGACUACAUUUGUUGUAUACUGAUUAAAGGUUGUAUUAUGGAACAAAGGCUAGGCCUUAUCCCCAAAGGAAGUAAAGUCAAUUUGUGAAUGGAAAUAAAACAAAUCCUUCUUCUUACAUUUCUUAAACAGUAACAACAACAACAACAACAACAUCAACAACAACAAAAGAACCUACCAGGGAAGAAUGCCUGGAACUGAAUCAGGUUCCAGGCAGCCGGAGUGAAUUUUCCCUGGUGCCCCGUGACUAAUGGGCAGAGCUAUCCCCUGGGCGUGCAGAUUCCUUCCCUUACCUCCACUUUGGAAGGCCUUUCCCUUGUAGCAGUAAACUGAAGACUCUAUGGGAGCAGGACCUCCUUUGCUACAUUCCCAGGAUGUCAUGGACAGUGGACACUCAGUACACGUCCCUCCUCUGAAUGACUGGAGAAUGGCUGGCUGGCAGGAAUUCCACUCCUCCAGUGGGAAUGAAUGCAUCCAACGAUGUUUAAGUAUCUCCUGGUGUGGCGGCUGUCACCCCACCCUCGCUUUUCUCCCUUGGAACUUUGUGCCAUUUCCCAGUCCUCCUGACUCAUGUCAGGGAGGCCUCCACCUUCCAUACAUUUGGAAAGCCCAGGGACUUCUAACCACUGGGUGGCUGGCUGAUUGAGCCCCGGAAGCCCUGUGCUCUCCCAUGUUUCCUUCUUGGUUCUCAUUGGGAGAAUUCCAGACCCCUGGGAAACAGAGGCCUCUGGUGUGCCUAGGAGAGGACCAGCCACCCCAAAGCAAGCAGUUCUUCCUCCUCAGUAGCUGCCACCACCCAGCCCCAAGGGAGUUAAACCUGUUCUUUAUCUCCUUGAAACCCAGGCCAACUUUGAUAAAAGGAAAAAUCUU